UAUGCGAGCGGUGAACAACGUUUGCGAUCGCCUAGUCAGAAGUGGAAUCGUUCAAAGUUGCUUGUGGACUUCCUGCGCCAUGUGCCUGUGUCUACCAUGGCGCUCGUCUACACGCGUAUAUUUUAUUUGCAGAGGAAGUGAAGAUUUCUGUGAAUACAUCUGUUUGCCAUGCAGGAGCAUAUCCUAGGCUUGGCAUUCUUAUUCUUCUGUUCGCGGGUCGAUGACGCCUGCUCGAUGGAAGUUGCAACAUUCUUUCUCAGAUAGUGUCGCAAAAUAUCUGGCAAGUGGCCAGAUACUUUCAGUAGCGAACAAGAGGAGCACGCUUUACAAUGGCUUUAUGACUCGCUCGCGUAAUAUUCGGCUCAGAAACUUGGAGAAGGACAUAAUACUGAUUAUAUGCGCCAGGGCGUAAAGCGUAAGUUACAAUUUAACGAGCAGUAAAGUUUUGUGGUGCACCACAUCCUGCUCACCGGGGAUCACUGUACGCUAGCGUUCAAACGGCUCCGCAAGAUUUUAAAUUGCAGCGAAUGCUUAUAAUACGCAGCAAUAUUCGACUCGCACGCGGGCUGAAACAUCUCUCGAGAUGAUGCCAUAAUCAAUUCUGCAGUGAAACUGCCGCGCUUUAUUGAAACAGCCUGAGAGCAACAUUAAUUCCCCAGAGAAUAUUGAUGAUAUGUUGCUCGUAAAACCGCGGAUAACUCUGUAAAAGCUUGUAAUUGCCACUAUAUAAAAUUUAAAUUAAAUCGCCGUUUAUAGACUGAAAAUAAAAUUGAAUUACUCAAACGUUGAUUCAGGAUUCAGGGUUGUUGCCGUAAAAGUAACAAGUUAAUCAAUCGUUACCAUUCAUGCCGAUAUCAUCAUCGAUUCGAUGGAUAUUUUGUCUGAUGAUCGGUGAAUAUAAUGCAUAACGAGGGACAGGAAACAAUUUAGGCCAGACUCUCUGGCUCUUAGCGAUAACUAUUUUAAAUUGAAAAGUCAUUUGUCGGCAUCGGCGACAUAUGAAAACCAUUACGAAGUAAGACUCAGACUGUUCCCCUGAGUACGCUUAUAUGCUCACGACAGUGUUCGCGCCGAUACAAUGCCACAUGUCGAGUCGCGAUACGAGCGAAAGCGAAUUUACUCUAAGUGAUAACUCCGCCCUUUUUGAGUCAACGACGAGUUUCAAUAAUCAUCGAAGUAAAACGUCAAUUUAUCGCGCAUUCUCGCGGCCUUUUAUAAUUAAACUAUAAAUAAAAUAUAUAAAAUAUAACUUUUCUCGCACAUUAAUACAGUCUUAUGAAAGAUAUUAAAAAUUAUAAUUGUCA